AGCGAACGCUGGCGGCAGGCUUAACACAUGCAAGUCGAACGGGCACCUUCGGGUGCCAGUGGCAGACGGGUGAGUAACACGUGGGAACGUACCCUUUGGUUCGGAACAACCCAGGGAAACUUGGGCUAAUACCGGAUAAGCCCUUACGGGGAAAGAUUUAUCGCCGAAGGAUCGGCCCGCGUCCGAUUAGCUAGUUGGUGAGGUAACGGCUCACCAAGGCGACGAUCGGUAGCUGGUCUGAGAGGAUGAUCAGCCACACUGGGACUGAGACACGGCCCAGACUCCUACGGGAGGCAGCAGUGGGGAAUAUUGGACAAUGGGGGAAACCCUGAUCCAGCCAUGCCGCGUGAGUGAUGAAGGCCCUAGGGUUGUAAAGCUCUUUCAGCGGGGAAGAUAAUGACGGUACCCGCAGAAGAAGCCCCGGCUAGCUUCGUGCCAGCCGCCGCCGUAACAC
rnacentral:rRNA from 1 species